AAAUAUAUUAGGAAAAGGGAAUUCUGCGACCUGGUUGGCAAAGCAAAAAGUCACACCUUCAUUCUAUUGCUUUUUCGAUCUCUCAAUUCUUCAAUAAAAUCCACUCAUCUUAUUUUAUCUCCCCCUUCCUCUGAUUUCUGCGAUCCUCCUCCUGGAUACAAACAAAGGGGUUGAGUUGAAGUAAUAGAAACUGUAAAUUAAAGGAAUAAUUGAAUCGGAGAUUGGUGUUUGGGAAUGGCGUGUAAGGGGUUUUGGGAGUGUCUAUUGAAGCUGUUGAACUUUCUGUUAGUUCUUGUGGGUUUGUGUAUGAUUGGGUAUGGAGAUGCUUUUGUACAGCUCGGUCGGCCCAUGCUAUUAGCUGUUUCUUUGGCUGAUAACAUUUUCGACAAACUGCCCAAAGCAUGGUUUAUUUAUCUUUUCAUUGGGCUUGGUGGAAUUGUUCUUUUCAUUGCUUGUUGUGGUUGCAUUGGAACUGCUACACGGAACGGCUGCUGCCUCACUUGUUAUUCAUUACUGGUGAUCUUGUUGAUUUUGGCCGAGCUGGGAUUUGCUGCUUUUAUAUUCUUUGACGAUGACUGGAAAGACGAAAUUCCAACUGACAAGACUGGAAAUUUUCUAUGAUAUAUGAUUUUCUGGAUGACCACUGGAAAAUUGUCAAGUGGGUUGCUCUCGGUGCUGUUAUACUAGAGGCGCUUAUAUUUUUGUUAGCACUUAUUGUAAGGGCUGCCAAUAGCCCAUCGGACUAUGAUAGUGAUGAAGAAUAUAUAGGUGGGUCCAGACAACAGAUCCGACAGCCAUUGAUAAAUAGGCCUGCUGGCGGUCCAGUCACUGGCCCCCCUGUCACUAACAACCUAGACCAGCGUACAAGCAGAACUGACUCUUGGAGUACUCGUAUGAGGGAAAAGUAUGGGCUGGAUACCUCAGAAUUUACGUACAACCCGUCCGAGUCGAACAGGUACCAGCAAUCUGCAACUCAGCCAUCUGAGGAAAGAAAUCGCUGCUGCAUCAUUAUGUGACGUGACGCCCUACUUGAUUUGAUAUUAUUUGACGCUGCACCAAAAGUGUCACAAUUGUGUUUUUUGAUUAUCGAACUGUAAUUAUGUUGUGUGAGGUAUUUGUAUCCCGUGUGAGUAGUGAUUGUUCGUUUCCUUGAUAAAAUCCCUCUUCAAGAUUGCCGUGUGAUUUAUCGUAUCUCUUUAAUUUGAAGUCACGACACUUUCGUUCCAUUGUUAUUUCUGUAAGAUAUUAUGUUCUUACACUAUUGUUGGCGGAUUGAUGUAUUCUAUUAUUAUCGAAGUUUUGCUUUAUUA